AUACAUGCAAUCAAUCGCUCCGAAACGCAAAUGUCUGACGCUGUAAACUCGAAAAGAGAAUGAUAAAUUUGACUUACACACUUUUCUGUAUAAUAAAAAACGUAUAGAGUCCUCAAUUCGCAUAUAAUUGUAAAGAAUUCCGUGUCGAAUAUAAUGAUGAAUAUACUAAUUCGCAUGAAUGUUAUUAGGAUUAUCGACCUUAAAGCUCGUCGCCGUGCGCUUUUCCUCCUGACUUCCCGUGGGCUGUAGAUGCGUAUAAGAAGAUGUCGAAUCAAGGCUUUGUCGUCGCAGAAUUCCCGGAUGGUAUUCAAGUAAUACCAAAAAUUUGGUUGCAAAAUAAAGAUGAAUGCAAAUAUCCCUCGCAUUUUAAGACGGAUAUAAAAAUCCGAAAAGCGGUAGAGAAACAGGAGAUACCAAAGUUUGAUUGGCCCGCAUUAGAAGUUAUAAGAAUUUUUGGCGAAUAUUCGUCCUUACAGAAGGCUUAUGCGAAGGCAGAGAAAGCUUUAUACACGUCAGAUAUGGACACGGAAAAGGAAGCAAAAUAUUACCGAAAACAUAGAGCGAGAAAAAUUUACUCUUCGUCGGAAAGCGAAGAAGAGUCUGGUGUAAAUUUGCCACCUGCUCCAUGUCCUCCUGCAAAACAUCAACGACUCAACGAUUCAGAUGUAUCUCGGAUACAAUGUAAAACUACAUCCAAUGUACGCUCUUCCGAAAAAUCACAAUCAUCGCAAAUUACAAACUCGAGCUCCCAUUCAUCAUUUUUACAAGCUUUUUACUUUAGCCAAACUAUGUUUUCUUUACUCAAAUUGAAACAUACUAAAACAUUAAUAGUUGUGAAAUCUACUAGUCUAAUUAAAAAGAAAAAAGAUUAUUUGAUAAAAUUAGACAAUGGAAAACGAUGGGUUGGAAUAUUUCUUUGUAAAUCGGAUGAAAGACACACUCUUAUAGAAAUAAAAAAGAACAUAGAUACCAACUCACCAAAAAUUCUAAUAAAGGAUGUUAACAAAGGGUCAAGUGACCAAUGUGAAAAUAAUGAAACUACUGGUAAUGAGCCAAUUAAUAUAACAAAUAAUGACAAAUGUGCUUCCAAUGCAGACACAAUAAAUCAGUUUCAUAUUCAACAUGAGGAAUCAAAUACUAUAGUAAACUCAUAUUUAGAUUUGGAUGUGAAGUCCGAUUUUCACAAUGAUAAAUUACAGAGCAAUGUUAUAACUAAUGAAAAUUUACAAAGUCAUACAUUAGAUAAAACUAAAUCUUCUAAAAACUAUCCUCGAAUUAUAGAAGACAAGAAAUGCAAAAUAAAUAUGACUAUUUUAUCAAAAAGUAGUGACACAACAGCAAAUAGUUCAUGUAAUACAUCUAUUCUGGGGAAUUUGGAACUUUCUGAUGUAAAUCUUUCUGAUGUAAAUGUUUCUGAUAUGAAUGGAAUAGACAUAAAUAAUUUUGAAAAUUGUGGUACAAAUUUAAAUAAUAAUAAUGGAGAAGAAAUGAUUCACGAAGUACUAGCUGAAAAUAAAUCCACGUUUACAUCUAUCACUGAAAAUACUGAACUGGACAGCACUAUAGUACCAUUUUGUGAUUUAAACGGAGUUAAGAAUUCUUCUAUAAACAACGAUAUAAAUAACAAUGACAAUAAAUUAUAUUGCAGUAACUCACAAAUUGAAAAUGUCUCGCAAAAUACAGAUUUUGAGAAAAAUAAAAUUUCUAAUGUAAGCGAUAAAGAUUCAGAUUAUGAACCAUCUAUUCAGAGUUCAAAUGAUACUGAUAUUGAACAUACUGAUAUUGAAAUAAAUGAUGAUUUAGAAAUUGCAAAUAAUGAAUCUAGCAUAUUAGCAAAUUCUUCAGAAAAUGCAAACAAAAAAAUAUGUUAGAAAAAGAAAUAGAAACAUGCAAAGAUGAUGAAUUAUUUGUAGAAUUGUCUCAAGGGCCCAAAGGAGAUAAAAAAUAUAAUUUUUGCUUUUACUGCAAUACUAUGCAAAGUAAAAUUGCUCGGCACCUAGAAUUAAAACAUAAAAAUGAAGAAGAAGUAAAAAUGUUUUUAUUACUUCCAAAAAAAUCUAGAGAGCGAAGAGAUGCAAUUAGUCAAAUAAGAAAAAGAGGCAAUUUUAAAUAUAAUACACAGGCAGAUUUAAAUGACGGUUCCAUGAUUGUUGUAAGAAGACCUACUAAAGAAGAGAAGCAAUGUGGUUCUUAUUUUUUACCAUGUUCUAAGUGUAGAGGACAUUAUGCAAUACAUAAUCUCAGGCAUCAUUAUCGCAUUUGUGCUAAGAAGAAAGAUACAACUCGAAAUGUAUUAAAAUUAGCACGAAGCGCUGCACAAUCUGUUCAUAAUCGUGCAAGCCAUAAAUUAAGAAAGGACAUUCUUCCUGUCAUGCGAAAUGACAAUAUUUAUAAAUUAAUAAAGUACGAUUUAUUAAUUAUACUAUACGGAAAUUACCUCUGUCAAAUUCAUAGAUUGCAGCAUUUAGGAGACCACAUACGACAACAAUUACGACUUCUUGGACGAUAUUUAGAAGUAUUAAAAUCAAUAGAACCGGCAAUACAAGAAUUACAAAUGCUAUUUGACCCGAAAUAUUAUGAUAUUGCUAUAAAAGCAGUAAAUAUAAUUGCUAAAUAUAAUGAAGACACAGAAUCAUAUGAUAUACCAUAUAAUGCUACAGCUAUGGGCACAUGUUUAAAAAAAUUAUGUAAGAUCUUAAUCAACGAAUUUAUUAAACAACAUGAAUACAAAAAACAAAAAUCAGCAAAAAAUUUUCUAAAGAUUUUAGAAGUCGAAUAUGGUAGUACCGUUAAUAAAACAGUUACAGAAAUACAGACUAGAAACAGUCGAAAGAAAAAAGUUAAUCUUCCGAAAACAUCAGAUAUCAAAAAGUUAACCAAUUAUUUAGAAGAAAUAAGAGUAUCUAGCAUGCGAGAAAUAAAAAAUGAAUUCACGUUUUGUGCUUGGAAAUCACUUGCUGAAGCAAUAUUAAUAAUGAUUCAAAUUUUCAAUCGGCGACGUGCAGGAGAGAUAGAAAGAGCUUACAUUGUUGAUUACAAAAAUUUCAUAAAAAUUACAAAAGAGGAUGAAUUAUAUAAAAGGUUACCACAAAAAGAAAAAAUAUCUGCUUUAAAGUACAUUCGUUUCACAAUUCGUGGCAAGCUAAAUCGGAACGUCCCAGUCCUUUUGAAUGCUAAAAUGAAAGAGGCUUUAGACAUAAUUUUAAGAUAUCGGAAAUUGGCAGGAGUAAGUUCAAAAAAUCCAUAUAUAUUUGGAUUGCCAGGUGCAGAUAAAAAACGAUUUAGAUAUUUAAGAGCGAGUAAAUUGAUGCGUGAAUUUGCUAAUCUAUGUGGAGCAGAGAACAAAGAAAGCUUACGUGGGACUAUUUUACGGAAAGACAUGGCAACAAAAUGUUCACACUUACCAGAUAGUGAAAUUUCUCUCAUUGCUGAUUUUAUGGGUCACCAUAAGGAUAUACAUAAAAAUAUUUACAGACAGCCUGUAGUAGAAUCUGAUAUUUUAAAUAUGGCCAAAAUUUUAGAGAAAACUCAAGAUAUAUCUACACAUAACACUGAUAUUGACACUACUAAUAAUACAAAUACUAAUACUACUAAUUCAAACAGUACAACAGAUGCUAAUACUUCAGAGAAUAGUAUUAACGAAAUUCAAAGCUUAGUUGAAGACGAAGCAUCAGAGAAUAAUUUGCCAAAGAAAAUUUUGCUAAAACAAAAAAAUGUAAAA